GUGAGGAAUAUUGCGCAAUGGAGGCAACUCUGACGCAGCCAUGCCGCGUGCAGGAAGAAGGCGCUACGCGUUGUAAACUGCUUUUAACCGGGAAGAAACCCCAGGACGUGUCCUGGGUUGACGGUACCGGAGGAAUAAGCACCGGCUAACUUCGUGCCAGCAGCCGCGGUAAUACGAAGGGUGCAAGCGUUAUCCGGAUUCAUUGGGUUUAAAGGGUGCGUAGGCGGAGCGUUAAGUCAGUGGUGAAAUCCUGCAGCUUAACUGUAGACUUGCCAUUGAUACUGGCGCUCUUUAGUGCGCUUGAAGUGGGCGGAAUGUGCCGUGUAGCGGUGAAAUGCUUAGAUAUGGCACAGAACACCAAUUGCGAAGGCAGCUCACUAAGGCGAUACUGACGCUGAGGCACGAAAGCGUGGGGAUCGAACAGGAUUAGAAACCCGGGUAGUCC
rnacentral:rRNA from 1 species